rnacentral:rRNA from 1 species
GAUGAACGCUAGCUACAGGCUUAACACAUGCAAGUCGAGGGGAAACGACAUCGAAAGCUUGCUUUUGGUGGGCGUCGACCGGCGCACGGGUGAGUAACGCGUAUCCAACCUGCCCACCACUUGGGGAUAACCUUGCGAAAGUAAGACUAAUACCCAAUGAUAUCCCACGAAGGCAUCCGAAUGGGAUUAAAGAUUUAUCGGUGAUGGAUGGGGAUGCGUCUGAUUAGCUUGUUGGCGGGGUAACGGCCCACCAAGGCUACGAUCAGUAGGGGUUCUGAGAGGAAGGUCCCCCACAUUGGAACUGAGACACGGUCCAAACUCCUACGGGAGGCAGCAGUGAGGAAUAUUGGUCAAUGGACGUAAGUCUGAACCAGCCAAGUAGCGUGCAGGAUGACGGCCCUAUGGGUUGUAAACUGCUUUUAUGCGGGGAUAAAGUGUGGGACGUGUCCCAUAUUGCAGGUACUGCAUGAAUAAGGACCGGCUAAUUCCGUGCCAGCAGCC